GGUUGGUCCGAUGGCAGUGGGGCUUCAAACGAUUGUUUCAGACAGUAACAGUUUCUCCUCUCUCUAUCUCACUACCGACCUUGACUAACCUUUU
rnacentral:Y_RNA from 1 species